rnacentral:ncRNA from 1 species
GACGUGCGACUGGCGGAUAAGUGGAGAGAUACCACGGGGAGCACGUUCGAUAAGAAGCCGACCGCCUGGGCACCGC